GACGAAGGGGGCUAGCGUUGUUCGGAAUUACUGGGCGUAAAGCGAGUGUAGGUGGUUGUCAUAGUCAGGUGUGAAAGCCUUGAGCUCAACUCAAGAAAUGCACUUGAUACUGGGCGACUAGAGGACCGGAGAGGAUAGUGGAAUUCCCAGUGUAGUGGUGAAACACGUAGAGAUUGGGAAGAACACCAGUGGCGAAGGCGGCUAUCUGGACGGUUUCUGACACUAAGACUCGAAAGCGUGGGGAGCAAACAGG
rnacentral:rRNA from 1 species